UUGAAAAAAAAAUUAAAAAUGAAAAUUCUUCUGUCUGAUCUCUCUCUCUCUUCUCCCCCUAUUUCCCCCCUCUCUCUCUCUCUCAAAUUCAAUUUCUCUUUUUUUUUUGGUCACUGGCUCACAACAUCGCCGAUCGACAUUGUUGUUGGCUAGCCUCGUCGCCGAUCAGAUGUAUUGAGUGUCAGUUUGAAGCUUUCACUGAGAUUACGAAGGAUCCAAAGCUGCUUCUUAAUCCAUUAUCAUUUUGCCUAUUUCAGUACGAUGUUGCUUGAGCAAUUUGCAAUGUGGUGGAGUCUUUGGUUAAGAAGUGUGAGGAGCCAAAAAUGUUUGACGCAAUCAAAAAGCCUCCUUCUGAGCUUUAUAAGCAUGUCGAAGUAUGUACAUUCUAUCUUUGCUGGAAUAUAUAUUUGUUAUUCUGACCAUGAUUUGUUUUUGAUUUUAUAAUCCUAUUUAUUCUCACAUGAUUUAUAACGGUAACUGUUGUGCAGAAAAUAUUGAGCAUAAGAAUGUGUAUCAUGUGCAGAAUAUUAUUAGCAAUGAGUUAAUGCAGGUCCUUCAGAUCAGGAGCAAAAUACUAAGGAAAAAAUCCAUCACUUUGCUUCAAGAUAAAGUUAUAGACAUUGAGUGAAAAAGGGUACAUUAGCUCUGACGACUAUAAGAGGUCUUUUUGCCCUGUAUGUAGUAUUUACUAUCCAAUGUUGAGGGGAUUAUCCAAAGUAGUAUUAUUUAUUUGCAACUCGAUUGGUAUGUGAUUAUUUCUCUAAUAAUUGCACUUGUUCUAAAUUGAGAUAGUUUAUUUAUAUGCAGUAGUUUUAUGAUUCAGAAGAUCAUGCCAUCAUUUCAGUUCUGUCUCAGUUUCUUUAGAUAGGCUUUCAUUUUUGCCGAGUUCAUGAAUUUUAAAGAAUGUUUUUAAUGCUAUUUAAAAAUGUCAUGUAUCAUAUAAACAUUGCCAUGCUUGUUCAAGAUUGCGUAUCAUAAAGCAUUCUUAGUGGGCUUUCUUUUAUGUUUUCAUCUAGUAUAUUAUUUAUAAGAAUAAUUAUUAUAAUAAUUCAACAUAUAGCAUAUCGAUUUUAUCUUGCUCGUUUUUUUUCAAAACAUAUAGCAUAUAAUCUAAGCUGCUUCUUGAUGUAGUGUUUGAAUAACCUAUUUUGUUUUUGAUAUUUUCUUUCUAUUUAUGUGUUGUUAAGUGCACGUGCAUGGGUUGCUUUUUAUUACCCUAGUGAAAGUCUUUUUGCCUUGUAAUUGAAGAUUUGAUCAUUUUCAUAUGGGGUGGAAAGGAAGGUUGAACAAUAGAUAAAAAUUACCAGUUCUCUGUUAUAUUAAAAGUAAGGUAAGGCACCUCUAAUUUGACUUUUUAUUUUUUUUACUUGGAAGAUAUUCUUACUAUAAAUAAUGUCUAACAAAUUCUAUUGUUUUAAUGAAAAAAAUAUGGAUUAGGAUAUAUAAUUCAUGUGAUAUAUGUUAAGUUGUAAUUUUUGUCAUUAUCUUAUAUAUGUUUCAUGUGAGACAGGCAAUGGAAGCUAUAGGUGUUACUCUUGCAGUAUUGUGCUCAAAUAAUAAGCUUUAUACAUCAGAUGCCUAACAUAUGGUUUUACACUAUGAUAUUAUGAGGACUUGGCGGGGGGAAGUCGCAGGACAUAGUAAAACCAAGUGGCUAGUAGUCCUUAAAAUAAGUCUUUCAGUGUGUGCUCAAAUAUUAAGCUGUAAGAGAACAUGUUGUAGCAAAUCUAGCAGAUUUUGAGAAGGGUGGGGAUGAAGCUAAAGACUUCCGUGAUAAAGCUUAUAAGGAAGCAAAUACUCUUGAGACUUGUAUUUAAUGUGGGUCAUAUGUUUAGAAUAUUAAUAUGAGUUGAGUCUCAGAUUGAUUUUGUUCGUCAAGUCUGGGCCCACGGUCCUUCGAAGCUACAACACUCUUCAAUUCCCAAAUCUGUUUUGGGAAUUUAAUUUGUUGUUAUUGUAUUAUCGGAAAUUUUCUUAAAAAAUAAACAUUUAUUCUACAACUUUGAUAAUUAAAUAAAAUAUAAUUUAAUCUGCA